UACGGAGGAUGCGAGCGUUAUCCGGAUUUAUUGGGUUUAAAGGGUGCGUAGGCGGCGAGUUAAGUCAGCGGUAAAAGCCCGGGGCUCAACCCCGGCCCGCCGUUGAAACUGGCUGGCUUGAGUUGGGGAAAGGCAGGCGGAAUGCGCGGUGUAGCGGUGAAAUGCAUAGAUAUCGCGCAGAACCCCGAUUGCGAAGGCAGCCUGCCGGCCCCACACUGACGCUGAGGCACGAAAGUGCGGGUAUCGAACAGG
rnacentral:rRNA from 1 species